rnacentral:lncRNA from 1 species
AUAAAACAAACUAUCCUCCAUGAGUUUAACUUCAUCGAACCCAGUUUCAUCAAAUACACACGCAUUACGAUGAAGCCAUAUGCUCCAAAAAAUGGUGCACCACGCAAUCUGUCAUCUCUGAUUUGUUACUUUAGAUCCGUGUAGAAUGUUAGCUAAAAUGAUCAUCCACAAACCAUGGGCAUGCCGAGAUAAUUCCUACCUUCUGAUACCACUGUCACCAAACAUAAGAUACUCGAGGACACACAAAGAGGAUAUGAUUAAUGGAUUCAUCCACCUGGAAACAAAAAGCACAUCUGAAAUCAUCGUUUAACACAUGGAUACCCCUUUUACAAAGGUUAUCCCUAGUGGCAACCUUCAAAGCUGCCCUCCAAACAAAAAGCUUGACUUUUGGAGGCACAUCGAACUUCCACAAAAGUGUAAAACAAGCAAAAACUUGGGGAAAAUUCUGCAUUUCCUAUAGAGUAUGAUAAUUCACAUAAUAGUAUCCCAUUUGUUCCCCUGCCCAAAACCAUUUAUCUGCUUGUGUCGGCCUUAACGUCAUAUUAUGGGUUAAAUUUAAUUACUAAUGC